rnacentral:rRNA from 1 species
GAACUGUGCAAAGGUAGCAUAAUCAAUAGUUUUUUAAUUGAAGGCUUGUAUGAAGGGUUGGACAAAGAAUAAUCUGUUUUUAUUCUUUUUUUUGAAUUUGACUUUUAAGUGAAAAGGCUUAAAUAAAUUUAAGGGACGAUAAGACCCUAUAAAUCUUUAUAUCAAUUUAUUUUUUGAUGGUUAAUUUAAGUAGAUAAUACAGAAAAAUAAAUGAUAUUUUGUUGGGGUGACAAGAAUAUAAAUAUUAACUGUUAGAAAAUUUAAACAAAGUUGUUUGGAAGUGUAAUAGAUCCUUUAUAUAGAUUAAAAGUUUAAGUUACUUUAGGGAUAACAGCGUUAUUUUUCUUGAGAGUUCAUAUCGAAAGAAAAGUUUGCGACCUCGAUGUUGAAUUAAAAGUUCUUUGUGGGGCAGGUGCCACAAAAGAAAGUCUGUUCGACUUUUAAAUUUUUACG